CCUUUCGUUAUAUUAUGAGAUGCCUAGGUCAUGUCUACUGUCCCUUGUAGCAAGUUGAUGACAAUUUUGGAUAUAAAUGAAGCACAUUAUCUUCAUAGCUUAGUUAUAGACGUCAUUCAAAACCCAAUACAAGGACUUGGAAAUGGAGAAGCAGAGACAUUUUGUUUUGGUCCAUGGGGCUUGGUGUUGGUACAAAGUAGCUGCUCGUCUUAAAUCAUCUGGCCAUAAAUUCACAGCUCUAGGCCUUGCUGCCUCUGGUGUAAAUCCAAAGCAGGUGCACCACCUCAAAUCAAUAUCCGAUUAUUUUCAGCCAUUGAUGUAAUUUAUGACGUCUUUGCCAUCAGAAGAAAGAGUUAUUCUAGUGGGUCAUAGUUUUGGUGGGCUUGUUGUUUCUUUUGCCAUGGAAAGAUUUCCUGAUAAAGUCUCUGCUGGAGUAUUUGCUACAGCUAUGCUGCUAGGUCCUGACUUAGUUACACAACUACAAAUAAAGAGUUCUGAACUCAGGACUUGCUGCUUGGAAUCAUGUUGAUAAGACCUUACCCUCUCUUUAGUGAUGAUGCAAUAGAAAGAGAAGUAGUGUUCACCAAAGAAAGAUAUGGAUCAGUUCCUCGAGUUUAUGUAGUAUGUGGCCAAGAUAACAUUGUAAAUGAGGAUCUACAGAGGUGGGUGGUCCAAAGCAAUCCACCUGAUUGGGUAAAGAUCAUCCCUGAUUCUGAUCACAUGGUCAUGUUCUCGAAACCACAAGAAUUUUGCUCUUGCCUUGAGGAGAUUGCUAACAAGUAUAUGAAUUACCUCUUCAGAGUAGCAAGUGGAAAGAGUUCUAUGAGGUCCAAAUUCUUGUUGAAUCUUUGUAUUAUUUUCCUGAGAAAAGAUCAAUGAACUUACCUGUAUGAACAAGUAGUUUA